GUACAUUCUCUCGUGUAUGAAACCAACUCUUGUUGUAUGCAGCUUCCUGCAUAGGGUCUUCAUCACAAAAAAUAAUCAUGGCGGGCACUGAAAUAGCUAGGCAAGCGGGAGAAGGUGCUCGCGCCGUCCCUCUCGCCGGCCAUGUCGGCUUCGACAGCAUGCCUGACCAGCUGGUCAACAAGUCUGUCAACCACGGCUUUUGCUUCAACAUCCUCUGCGUUGGUGAGACGGGCCUGGGCAAGUCCACUCUCAUGGACACCCUGUUCAACACCAAGUUCGAGGGCGAACCCACCCAGCACAACCAGCCGAGUGUGCAGCUCAAGUCCAACACCUACGAGCUCCAGGAGAGCAAUGUGCGCCUCAAGCUGACCGUGGUCAACACUGUGGGCUUCGGAGACCAAAUCAACAAAGAGGACAGCUACAAGUCGAUUGUGGAGUUUAUCGACACCCAGUUUGAGGCCUAUCUGCAGGAGGAGCUGAAAAUCAAGCGCACGUUACACAGCUACCACGACACACGCAUCCACGCCUGCCUGUACUUCAUCGCACCCACCGGACACUCCCUCAAGUCCCUGGACCUGGUCACUAUGAAGAAACUGGACAGCAAGGUCAACAUCAUCCCCAUCAUCGCCAAAUCAGACGCCAUCUCCAAAAGCGAGCUGACCAAGUUCAAGAUCAAGAUCACCAGUGAGCUAGUCAGCAACGGUGUUCUGAUCUACCAGUUCCCCAUCGACGAUGAGACGGUGGCAGAGAUCAACUCCACCAUGAACGCCCAUUUGCCGUUCGCCGUGGUGGGAAGCACGGAGGAAGUGAAGAUCGGCAACAAGAUGGUGAAAGCGCGGCAGUACCCCUGGGGGACGGUACAGGUGGAGAAUGAGAACCACUGUGACUUUGUGAAGCUGAGAGAGAUGCUAAUCAGGGUGAACAUGGAGGAUCUUAGAGAGCAGACUCACACCAGACACUACGAGCUCUACCGUCGCUGCAAGCUGGAGGAAAUGGGCUUCAAGGACACGGACCCCGACUGCAAACCCUUCAGUCUGCAGGAGACGUAUGAGGCCAAGAGGAACGAGUUCAUGGGAGAGCUGCAGAAGAAAGAGGAAGAGAUGAGGCAGAUGUUCGUCCAGAGAGUCAAGGAAAAGGAGGCUGAGCUGAAGGAGGCUGAGAAAGAGCUGCACGAGAAGUUUGACCGGCUCAAGAAGCUGCACCAGGAUGAGAAGAAGAAGCUGGAGGACAAGAAGAAAUCCCUGGAUGACGAGCUCAACGGCUUCAAGCAGAAAAAGACGGCCGCUGAGCUCCUGCAGUCCCAGGCUCUGCAGGCAGGGGGCUCCACCACACUCAAGAGGGACAAGGAGAGGAAAAACUGAUGUGAGCCCUGUCACCGGCCCCGUUAGAAAGAAAGAAGACACUUGCACUGAGAAAGUUAAGGACUCCUGUAGGAAUGAUUUUUCACCCCAUCCCUGGCAGUGCCAUGCUGUUCUCUGUGCCCUCCAGCCCUCCCCCUCUCCCCUAUUCCAAACCCCACACAUGCCCCUGCACUGUGGAAGAAUCCAGCCAUUACUGUGAAUGGGAAUCCUUGACUCAAACGCAUCCUUUUUGCGCUAAAGAUGCUUGUUUUUGUACGUUGUUUUUGUUACGAGCCAUCAUCCUCUGUUUGCCUGUUUGCUUUCUGUUGGAAAGUAGAUGUAUUCUCUUGUUGUUUUUGUUGUUGACCGUUCUGCAUGACUGAGUGGGCUUUUUACUUUUACAUGCACAACUACUGUUGUGACAGGCAGGAGUUUGUGGAGGCUAAGGUGAAAUGUAUAUCAGCUGUGGUCUGACCAGGCCAGUGGUGUGUGUGUGUGUGUGGAUACAUUUUUACUAUACUUGUAAGUACCAGAAGUCCUCACAAGAAUAGUAAACCAACUAAAAUUCAGAGAAGUGAGGACAUUUUGUUGGUCCUCACUUGAAAUAUGGCUAUUUUAGGAUUAGGUUUAGGGUUAGAAUUUGGGUUAGAAUUAGGGUUAGAGGUUAAGAUUAGGUUAAGAGUUAGGUUUAGGGUUAGCGGUUAGGGAAAAUUGGAUUUUGAAUGGAAAUUAGUUGUUGGUCCCCCAAAAGACCUCACUAGUAUAGUAAGACAUAGCUGUCUGUGUGCGUGCUCAUUAGCAUCUUCCGGUCCAUGUUUCAGACCACCACUAUUCUACUCACUACCAGGGUAUAAUCAACCACUCCAAUAGUAUGACAUUAUGACAAUGUGCGCUGAUAUCGUGUUGGCAUACAAUGUGUAAUUAUUGAAAAUUAAGAUACUAUUAUUGUAUGUUUUGAAUGAGGGCAUAUUGUCCACCACCUAUCAAGAGAGUAGCCUAGUCCCAGAUCUGUUUGUGCUUUUGCCUACUCCUAACAUGGCAUGAAUAAUGAGUGACAGGGAGUUGGCAUGAUAGCACAAACAGACUGGCACUCAGGCUACGGAGAAAGUGAGUGUUAGUCAACUGCUGAUGUUAUUUCAUCUUAGCCUGGUGCAUGUGCAAAUAUGAAUGAUUUCUUGUCAUCUCUUUGCCCAUACCUCAUUGUUUUUCAUAUACUGUACGCUAUCUGCAUACUUGUUAGCUUUUCACGUUUGCACAUUUUACACAAAUGUAAUUUUGUAUAUUUCCAGUGCAAUUGUGACUUUUAGAUUUUUUUCUACAUAUAACAUCAUAUUUUAAGCCAUUUAACCAAAUAACAAUAAUGUAGGGAUCAGUAUUGCACUUGUAUCAGUGUUACACAAAAAAUACUUAAUCUCCAAGGGAAAUAAAGAGGGAAUUUCACCAAAUAUUUCAACUGUGGCCACGAUUAUUGUGUAUGAAAUAUUUUAAUGAAGCAGUAACAUAGUAUGUAAGUGGGUUCUGCAUGUGAGGAUAUUAGGAUUUUACAUAGAUUCUGAUUACAGUUGAAAACACUAGCUUUGGUCUACAUAUUUAACUCUCAUUCAAGGGCUUUGAGAUAUCACGCCAUUGUUAUUGUCAAAACAGCUCUCCUUACAGAGCUUUACAGAGCAAAAUUGUCUGCUAACCUGAAUUCAAAGGGCUGGAUCCUGACUUGGGAUAUGCGCACGUAACUUGGAAUUUCACAUAAAUCCUGAAUUGAAUUCAGUGGGAGACUUGCAUGAGCAUUUAAGUUAGGUGCUCAAAUGUCAAGUUACUAUUCAGCCUUAUACUAAUGCACUGCUUUUGUCUGAACAGACUGAGCCAGCAGUCAUUCUCCAUCCCUCCUAGAGAAACAGGAUAGGAACACUCCUUUGUUUGGCAGAUAACUGUCAGUGCCAAUGAGAUUGUUGGGUUUUAUUUUCCAAUCCACUUCCUUCACAUCUGUAUCUUGAGGACAGGGUGUUGUUUAUCAGAAAAACAUUUCCACCCUCCAAAACAUGUCUGUUUGUCCUUGCUCAAUAUAAUCAUGUGGGACAGUUGGUCUGACGAGUGUCCACAGAUGUAGGCCUUUUGUUUCCAUCUAAAUGUAUUGAAAUUAGUCUCUUACACGCUUACACAUUCUUGUACACGGGUGUAGUAGGUAUGGUUUACAACUUCUCACAAUCCCUUCUCAAGUUGCUCUUUGUCUCAAUGUUUCUGGGGAACUGUUGUCCUCAGCUCUUUGGGUUGGCAGGGUGUGCCUUGGUGUGUGGUGUCAUUCACAACCUGCUUCAGUCCCCCUGUUCACUGCUCUAUGUAUUUACCUUUCCUUUGCAGUAAUCCCUGGCUCUGCACUGAGUAGGUGCUUCCACCCUCAAGCUUUGCUAAGGGACCAGGCUUUGUGGGUAGCCGGUACCCCAAGGCUGAGGAGAGGCAUUGCGGACCCUGGUUUAAAAAACAUGAAUCUGCUCUAUGUACUAACUAAAAGAUACCCCUAUACAGUUGAAGUCGGAAGUUUACAUACACUUAGUUUGGAGUCAUUAAAACUCGUUUUUCAACCACUCCACAAAUUUCUUGUAAACAAACUAUAGUUUUGGCAAGUCGGUUAGGACAUCUACUUUGUGCAUGACACAAUUAAUUUUUCCAACAAUUGUUUACAGACAGAUUAAUUCAGUGUAUCACAAUUCCAGUGGGUCAGAAGUUUACAUACACUUAGUUGACUGUGCCUUUAAACAGCUUGAAACAUUUCAGAAAAUUAUGUCAUGGCUUUAGAAGCUUCUGAUAGGCUAAUUGACAUAAUUUGAGUCAAUUGGAGGUGUACCUGUGGAUGUAUUUCAAGGCCUACCUUCAAACUCAGUGCCUCUUUGCUUGACAUCAUGGGAAAAUCUAAAGAAAUCAGCCAAGACCAGAAAAAAAUGAUAGACCUCCACAAGCCUGGUUCAUCCUUGGAAGCAAUUUCCAAACGCCUUAAUCAAAGCCUACUAGAUGAUAAAUUGUUUACAACUAGGACAGAAGAAUUUAUAACUGACUUUUUUAGACAUAACAUAGGUACAGCAGAUCCCCAUAUUGUAUGGGACACUUUUAAGUGUGCCUUUAGAGGCCAUGCAAUCCAGUACUCAUCUAUAAAACAAAAGCAAUUUCGAUCAAAAGAGUCCAUAUUAACAAAGGAAAUUGAAGGACUAACAGUACAGUUAGAUAACAAUAAAAACGGUACCAUAGAGGCACAGAAUAAGUUAGAGGAAAAACAAAAAGAAAUGGAGGAACUUAUUCAAGAAAGAUCCAGUGUAAUAUAUUACAAAAAUAAAGCGAACUGGAUGGAAUAUGGGGAAAAAUGCACCAAAUUCUUUUUCAAUCUUCAAUAUAGAAAUGCUACCAAAAAAAACGUAUUAAAACUUGUUACAAAUGAUGGAGUCACGCAUGAUUCACCAAAUGAUAUUUUGAAAGAGGAAGUAAAGUACUUUAAGAAUAUAUUUUCGUUUCAGGCUCCUCCAUCUCUACUAACUGAAACUAAUUGUAUGGAUUUUUUCCCUAAUAAUAAUGUAAAAUUAACAUCUGUACAGAAAGACUCAUGUGAAGGCCUAAUUACAGAGGAGGAACUACUUGAUGCAAUUGGGGCCUUUAAGGAUGGGAAAACUCCAGGACUGGAUGGCAUACCAGUGGAAGUAUACAAACAUUUUUUUGAUAUACUCAAAGGACCAUUAUUAGCUUGUUUUAACCACUCCUAUAUAAAUGAUAGAUUAUCAGACACGCAACAAGAAGGUGUGAUAUCAUUAUUACUGAAACAGGACCCAAGUGGUAUAUAUAAAGAUCCAGUCCAUUUAAAAAAUUGGAGACCUCUUACACUUCAGUGUUGUGAUGCAAAAAUCCUAGCAAAAUGCUUGGCGCAUAGAAUAAAAAAAGUUUUGUCAGAUAUUAUUCAUCCUAAUCAGACAGGUUUUUUACAUGGACGAUACAUUGGAGAUAAUAUAAGGCAAGUACUGGAAACAAUGGAACACUAUGAAAUAUCGGGGACACCAGGCCUGGUUUUCAUAGCUGAUUUUGAAAAGGCUUUUGAUAAAGUACGACUGGAGUUUAUAUAUAAAUGCCUAGAAUAUUUCAAUUUUGGGGAAUCUCUUAUAAAAUGGGUAAAAAUUAUGUAUAGUAACCCUAGGUGUAAAAUAGUAAAUAAUGGCUACAUCUCAGAAAGUUUUAAACUAUCUAGAGGAGUAAAACAAGGUUGUCCACUAUCGGCAUAUCUAUUUAUUAUUGCCAUCGAAAUGUUAGCUGUUAAAAUUUGAUCAAACAUUAAUAUUAAGGGAUUAGAAAUCCAGGGCCUAAAAACUAAGGUGUCAUUGUACGCUGAUGAUUCGUGUUUUCUUUUAAAACCACUACUAGAAUCUCUCCACGGCCUCUUAGAGGAUCUAGAUACAUUUGCUAUCCUCUCUGGAUUAAAACCAAAUUAUGAUAAAUGUACCAUAUUACGUAUUGGAUCACUAAAAAAUACACAUUUUACAUUGCCAUGUAGUUUACCAAUUAAAUGGUCUGACGGUGAUGUGGACAUACUCGGUAUACAAAUCCCAAAAGAAAGAAAUGAUCUCACUCCAAUAAAUUUUUAUAGAAAGUUAGCAAAAAUAGAUAAGAUCUUGCUACCAUGGAAAGGAAAAUACCUGUCUAUUUGUGGGAAAAUCACCCUGAUUAACUCUUUAAUCAUAUCACAGUUUACCUAUUUGCUUAUGGUUUUGCCUACACCUAGUGACCUGCUUUUUAAAUUAUAUGAACAAAAAAUAUUCAAUUUUAUUUGGAACGGCAAGCCAGAUAAAAUUAAAAGGGCCUAUUUAUAUAACGAAUAUGAAUUCGGAGGGCAGAAAUUAUUAAAUAUUAAAGCAUUAGACCUCUCACUAAAGGCAUCAGUCAUACAAAAGUUAUACUUAAAUCCAAACUGGUUCUCUAGUAGAUUGGUACGAAUGUCUCAUCCUAUGUUCAAGAAGGGCCUUUUUCCCUUUAUUCAGAUUACACCUGCUCACUUUCGGUUGUUUGAAAAGGAAAUAAUCUCCAAAAUAUCCUUAUUUUUUAAACAAGCCUUAGAAAGUUGGUUGCAAUUUCAGUUUAAUCCACCUGAAAGGACGGAACAAAUAGUACAACAAAUCUUGUGGUUAAAUUCAAAUAUAGUAAUUGAUAAAAAAAACUGUAUUUAUCGAAGAAAUGUUUAAAAAAGGUAUAAUUUUUGUGAAUGAUAUCAUAAAUAGGACUGGUGGAGUAAUGUCACACAUGCAGCUAACACAGACAUAUGGAAAUGUCUGCUCUAUCCAAAAUUACAACCAAUUAAUUGCAGCAUUACCACAAAAAUGGAAGAGGCAGGUGGAAGGGGAUAAAAGUAAGGAACUUGUAUGUCGGCCUUAUAUUAAAGAACAUAAAUGGUUAAAGAAAAGUGUGAUAAAUAAAAACAUAUACCAAUUUCAUUUAAGGACCAAAAAACUUACAGCUGUGCCAUAUAAAUUGCAAAAUAGUUGGGAAGAGAUUUUCGAUGUACCCAUUCCAUGGCACAUGGUUUAUGAAUUGAUACGCAAAACAACGCCGGAUUCAAAACUUCGAAUUUUUCAAUUUAAAUUAUUGUACAAAAUUCUUGCAACUAAUAGAUUGUUAUAUAUAUGGGGGAUACAAUCUUCCCAGCUCUGUAGAUUCUGCUGUGAGGAGGCAGAGUCAUUAGACCAUUUAUUUUGGUAUUGUCCGCAUGUAGCUCGUUUUUGGUCACAGGUCCAGGAAUGGUUGAAGAAUUGCAACAUUUGCGUAGAACUAACGCUACAGAUAGCAAUACUGGGGGAUCUGAAAAGCCAUAGUCAAUCAAUCAAUAAUAUAAUAAUUAUUUUAGCAAAAAUGUUUAUUUUUAAUUUACAAUCCGUGGAAGCUAUGAGAAUAGGAAGAUUCAAAUCCUUUGUGAAGCAUCACAGCACAGUUGAAAAAUAUAUGGCAAAUAAAAAUCAGAAAUGGAUGAUGUUGGAAGAUAGAUGGGAAAGGUUGAGUGGAGCUGAAGGGUGGGACUAAUAACAAGAUAAACAAUGUAGGGCAUACGGGAUCUGUGAAAUGUGUAUAGGUGCGGAGCUAUUGUGAAAUAGCACAGUUACAAGUGGAAAUCAAACUGGAUGGACAACAGAAAUAGAGGAAGGACUAAGAACAAACAAGAGAGAACUAUUAUAAAGUAGACUGUGUCUGUAAAAUGUGUAUAAGAUGUAUAAAUUGAAGGUAAAAACAGAAAUGUUUAUCAGUUUACUCCAAUUGGGGGAUCGGUGGUAGGGUUUGCAGGGAAUAAUAAUAAAGGUAUACUAUUUUUAAAAAAGUAUGUAUGUCUAUGUAGGUAUGUGUAUGUAUAUAUGUGUAUAUGUAUGCAUACGUGAAUGGAUAUAUAUAUUUACCCAAAAAAAUAUGGGGGAUUGGAAAUGAUGCAGUCAAUUACAUUGGAAGCAACAUUCUUUCCGCAAUAUUAAGCUGAUCCACACCCCCAAAAAAUAAAUAAAUAAAUAAAUAAACCUUUCCAAACGCCUGAAGGUACCAUGUUCAUCUGUACAAACAAUAGUAUGCAAGUAUAAACACCAUGGGACCACGUAGCCAUCAUAUCGCUCAGGAAGGAGAGUCUCCUGUUCUGUCUCCUAGAGAUGAACGUACUUUGGUGCGAAAAGUGCAAAUCAAUCCCAGAACAACAGCAAAAGACCUUGUGAAAAUGCUGGAGGAAACAGGUACAAAAGUAUCUAUGUCCACAGUAAAACUAGUCCUAUAUCUACAUAACCUGAAAGGCCGCUCAGCAAGGAAGAAGCCACUGCUUCAAAACCGCCAUAAAAAAGCCAGACUACGGUUUGCAACUGCACAUGGGGACAAAGAUGGUACUUUUUGGAGAAAUGUCCUCUGGUCUGAUGAAACAAAAAUGGAACUGUUUGGCCAUAUUGACCAUCGUUAUGUUUGGAGGAAAAAGGGGAAGGCUUGCAGCCAAAGAACACCAUCCCAACAGUGACGCACGGGGGUGGCAGCAUCAUGUUGUGGGGGUGCUUUGCUGCAGGAGGGACUGGUGCACUUCACAAAACAGAUGGCAUCAUGAGGCAGGAAAAUUAUGUGGAUAUAUUGAAGCAACAUCUCAAGACAUCAGUCAGGAAGUUAAAGCUUGGUCGCAAAUGGGUCUUCCAAAUGGACAAUGGCUCCAAGCAUACUUCCAAAGGUGUGGCAAAAUGGUUUAAGGACAACAAAGUCAAGGUAUUGGAGUGGCCAUCACAAAGCCCUGACCUCAAUCCCAUAGAAAAUUUGUGGGUAGAACUGAAAAUCGUGUGCGAGCAAGGAGGCCUACAAACCUGACUCAGUUACACCAGCUCUGUCAGGAGGAAUGGGCCAAAGUUCACCCAACUUAUUGUGGGAAGCUUGUGGGAGGCUACCUGAAACGUUUGACCCAAGUUAAACAAUUUAAAGGCAAUGCUACCAAAUACUUAAUUGACUGUAUGUAAACUUCUGACCCACUGGGAAUGUGAUGAAAGAAAUAAAAGCUGAAAUAAAUAAUUCACUCUACUAUUAUUCUGACAUUUCACAUUCUUAAAAUAAAGUGGUGAUCCUAACUGACCUAAAACAGGGAAUUUUUACUGGGAUUAAAUGUCAGGAAUUGUGAAAAACUGAGUUUAAAUGUAUUUGGCUUAGGUGUAUGUACACUUCUGACUUCAACUGUAUGUAUAUCACUGCUGCUCUAACUAUAUGUGCUCACUAUGUGGCUUAAUCUUAAUAUCUUGUCUAUGGCUAUGCCUUUUGUCAUGUCGUGUGUUUUUGCUGUGCUGACUUAGAUGACUAAUAUCAGCAUUUUGCUCUUUAUUUCUGUAAGAUUGACAUUUCUGGACUAUGUUGUUGUGCACGUCACUUGGUAGUUUUUCCAUCAUGUUAGGUUUAAUAUUGUCCAUGUUUGAUUUAUUAAAUGAUAUUGCAUACCCUUUUGGGAUUUUCAGAGGACAUAAUAUCGGCUGCGAGCAGUUAAUUAAACUUGUCUCAAAGGGAUUAAGCUAUUUAUUAAAUGUUUUAAAUCAGUAUUAUGCUCAAAUCGAAUUAGUCAGCUAUAGUAUGGUAUUAUAUUAGUCGUUUUUUUUUACGACACUGACAGUACAUUUGUAAUGUAGUUAGUGUAAUUUGAAGUACAGUAGCAACUAUACAUGCCUUAGGAAAACCCAAAUACUUUCUGUCUUUCUUCCCAAAAUGUCACUAAUCCUUGUUUCUUAUUUAUCUUGAACCUUGCCUUCUGGUAAGCACUGUUGCCUGGGCCUCUCUUGUAACUUUGCAUUUGUCUCUUCCUCUCUCUAGCUUCUUUUAAUCUGUCUUGCCCACCUGUCUGAAGAGGGGAUUGCAGCUUCAACAAGAACUAAGCACCCGUUUCCUCUUCCUGUCUUUUCUCUCUGCAUCAACCUUUUUUAACUUCUAUCUCAUCUGCUUUGUUGACCAUGGCCUAAUGUGGGGUUCACAUGGUAUUUUUUGGAUAGUUUACGUUUUGUCACCUAAUCAAGGUACACUUUGGUUAGUGGGAGUCCUUCACUCUUAAUAUUUUGCAGCUCCGUCUUGGUGUAUGAAUGAACGAAGCUUUGCUUAGGUAGGAUUCUAAAUGGUUGUUCAAGAGAAACACAUCUAAUCAAUAGUUUCAUCAUACCAAUUGUAACAGAGCCAAGGCUCUGGAUUAAUUUAUAUUUUGCACAAAACUAUCUGAAUUUCAUUGACAGUUAAUUUUAAGGAAGUGUUUAUGUAAUAACAUUUAAUCAUAUAUUACGUCCAUUUUGAGAAGGGCUUAUUCUGUUUGAAAUAACCAAUACUAUUACAAAUAGCCUAUAUGAUUUACUGUGCUCCUCAUUCAAAGGGGGAGUUAGUUUUGAAUACAAAUAGCAUAACCCACAAAUCUCAAUAAAACACUGAUAAAACCAAAAUACAUUCAUUUGGUGAUUGAUAGAGCAAAGUGUGACAUCUAACCUUGCAUGUGUGACUAGUAGAUACUUUUGUCAGUUAAAAACCAAAAGACAAUUACGAUCCAAAACAGUGUUCUUUAUGUUCACUGCAUAGAUUGUUUCAUUGCAACUUAGAAGAGCCAAAGCCGUAUUCAUGUCAAGCACUUAUUUAGUGAAAACACCUUUUCCGUACUGAAAUACCAUAUAGGUCACAUUUAAUGUACUUUACACAUUGUGCUUUAACUACCAUCACCCUAUUCUGUAUUUUGCAUGUCUAAUGCUCUUUUAUUUCAUCACUUCUGUGAUCUUGACCUUUUGCUCCCAUAGCUGUUUUGUCCCCUAACAGUUCCGUUUUGCACUAUUUCACAUUUGGUGCUCUAUAUUGUUUGGAUCAGUUUUAUCUUGUGUAUUACUCCUUGUUAUACCCUUCUCCACAAUUUUCAGCAUCCAUAUUGCCAAAUAUUACAAUGAGAUGGAGUUGAAUCCUAGGUACAGAUGGAUACAUUUGUAUAAUUUAUAAAGAUAUAUUUUGUGUAUUGAAGUGGAGACCUGUUUAUGAGAUAUUAUCUUUGGAUGUGACUCUUCUCUCUGUGUAGUUACAUUUUUUGGUGUAAGAAAUUGCCAUACAUUUUUCUAGCAUCUGCCAUAAUCACCCCUCCUAGUGAAUUAUCUGUCCACACCACAAAUUAAUUAUGAAAUAUUUUAUUGUAGUUUGAUUCCAUUGAUGUACUUUUUCAAUAAAAUUCUGAAAAUAAA